AUAUUAGUAAGCGGAGGAAAAGAAAACAACAGUGAUUCCCUUAGUAACGGCGAGUGAAACGGGACAAGCCCAGCGUGUAGGCCUCUCGUCGUAUGGCGCUGAGUGCGAUGCCACGUUAGUGUCGGGGUGCUCACCCACGAUCCGAAGUGCCUAAGUCGCUUGGAACAGCGCACCAGAGAGGGUAAUAAG
rnacentral:rRNA from 1 species